rnacentral:misc_RNA from 1 species
GAUGAAGAACGUAGCAAAAUGCGAUAAGUAAUGUGAAUUGCAGAAUUCAGUGAAUCAUCGAAUCUUUGAACGCACAUUGCGCCCGCCAGUAUUCUGGCGGGCAUGCCUGUUCGAGCGUCAUUUCAACCCUCAAGCACAGCUUGGUGUUGGGACUCGCGUUAAUUCGCGUUCCCCAAAUUGAUUGGCGGUCACGUCGAGCUUCCAUAGCGUAGUAGUAAAACCCUCGUUACUGGUAAUCGUCGCGGCCACGCCGUUAAACCCCAACUUCUGAAUGUUGACCUCGGAUCAGGUAGGAAUACCCGCUGAACUUAAGCAUAUCAAUAAGCGGAGGAA